GUUUUUCCUCUUUUUGCAAAAUCAAAAUGUUCCUCUCUCUCUCUCUCUCUCUCUCCGUUUUUCUCUCCACCACCACAGCACACCAGCACCUCCAUGACUCCAUCUUCUCUCUCAACUCCAAACCAAAAACCACUUUACUUUUCCUCUUUUCAAAAUCAAAUCUCAAUGUCUCUCUCCCCAGUCCACACGCCACCAUAGCCUUUAUUCUCUCUCAACCCCAAAUCCCAACAGCCAAUGCCCAGCGGUAGCGUCUCCGCCGACAUCACAAGUUCUGAAGAAACCGGCCUUUCUCUCGUCAGAAAAUCCCCAAAAUCUUCUCUUUUUAGCAGAACCACCCUACACCGGAAACUUCAUGCUACUCUCAACACCUGACAUUCACAAGAAGAUUGUCUAAAAUUGCUUGUUUAUAAUGGCUGUCAGAAAUUAAAUUUCAGUAGCAAUAGCAAUAUUGGAGGCAGCCACAUAUAAGCAAUAGCUUGAGGAGUAUACUUGAAGACAUGCUGAACUUAACAAAUGAGAUUGACCAAGUUUCAUUUGGGAUGUGAGAGAUGUAAAUCAAGCAACUCGUGAGCUUGCUAAGUGGGGAUUUGUUAACAAUUGGAAUGGUUUUGUAAAUUGUGGCCUUACUGGUUGGAUCAUCUGAUAUAUGUGAUCAUGAAGGAUGCUUUGGAUUGUACAAUUUGAAUUUAGUUCUUUUUAAUGAAGCUUGGUUUAUUGUAAA